rnacentral:rRNA from 1 species
GGCUCAGGAUGAACGCUAGCGGCAGGCUUAAUACAUGCAAGUCGAGGGGCAGCAGCUUUGUAGCAAUACAGGGGCUGGCGACCGGCAAACGGGUGCGGAACACGUACGCAACCUUCCUUUAACUGGAAGAUAGCCCACCGAAAGGUGGAUUAAUACUCCAUAACAUAUUGAAGAGGCAUCUCUUUGAUAUUAAAGCUCCGGCGGUUAAAGAUGGGCGUGCGUCUGAUUAGGUAGUUGGCGGGGUAACGGCCACCAAGCCUUCGAUCAGUAGCUGAUGUGAGAGCAUGAUCAGCCACACGGGCACUGAGACACGGGCCCGACUCCUACGGGAGGCAGCAGUAAGGAAUAUUGGUCAAUGGAGGCAACUCUGAACCAGCCAUGCCGCGUGCAGGAAGACGGCCCUCUGGGUUGUAAACUGCUUUUAUUCGGGAAUAAACCUAUCUACGUGUAGAUAGCUGAAUGUACCGAAGGAAUAAGGAUCGGCUAACUCCGUG